CAUUACAUGAUUAAUUAAAUAAUUAUCCUUAAUAGGGUUAUAUUCUACAGGUUAGAGCCAGGUUGGUUAGGCGUCUCAUUUGGUUGAGGAGUAGUUAUGUUCGAUCAUAUAACCUGAAGUAAAUUUAAUUUAUAGUGUAUCUAGCAUAUAGGUAUAUGAAGAUAUAUUCUUGAAAUCAGGCAGUAUAUAAGAAUUUAUGGAUAAUUAGCUAUAUAUUAAAGAUAUCUAGUCAAUCUAGUUUCUAAGAGAAUCAGAUAAUAACGAAGUGAAUUGAAAUAUCUUAGUAACUUUAGGAAAGAAUCAACGAGAUUGUUAUUUGGUGUCACUAAUAACAAAGCCUAUAACAAACUUGUUAAAGUAAAUGGAUUAAAUCUGUUUGAAUAUAGGGAACCUUCCUCUAAGGCUAAAAUGAUAUAUAAGCGAUAGUGAAAGUACCGUGAGGUAAAUUUGAAUAGUAAUUUAUAAGCAGCUCGAGUGAAAUUUAAAUAAAAAUAGAGCGUACCUUUUGCAUAAUGGGUCAGCAAGUUAAUUUUAGAUGCAAGCUAUGAUUUUAUGUGGUUUUCGCAUAAACUAGCUUAGAUAACCAAUUAUGAAAAAUGAAUAAGUAUCUAGAUUAGACCGAGGCUAGUGAUCUUACCAUGGUCAGGGUUAUAAAGCCCGAACGGGUUAUCGUUGUAUAGAUAUCCGAAGAAUUGUGGUAAGUUAGUGAAGACAAACUGACUAGUAUAGCUGGUUUUCCGCGAAACCUAUAUGAGUAGGUAAUUUAAUUAACAUCUUAGCAGGUACAGAACUGUGAUCUCGGACAAUAUCUUUUGAUUUUGUCACAUCGGGGGUUGUAGUGACUUUACGGAGAGUAUUUGCACUCGGAUGGCAAAGAUGAAUGUUGAAUAUCGGACAUAGUGCGAUAAGGUUGUAUGUCUAAGGGAACAGCCAGAACAGAGUUAAGGUUCCAAUUAUUGUUGAGUGAAUUAGGAUGUUUUUUUUUAUACAAUCAGGAAUAGGCUUAGAAGCGGCCAUUUUUUGAAGACCUCGUAACAGAGCACUGAUUAAUUUUUAGAAAAAAACACCGAAAUUUAACGGAUCUAACAAUAUACCGAACCUUGUACACAUUAAUAAUAAUAUAUUGUAUAUGUGGGGUAGCGGAACAUUGGAUAAUAUUAUUAUUAUUUCUUAUUUAAGAAUAUAAUAUGGAUUAUUAAUAACUAAAUAAAUUAAUUAAUCCAUUAAUAAUCCAGAGAGAAUGCUGACAUGAGUAACGAAAAGGAUAUCCUCGCCUUAGCUUAUGGUAUUUUAUUUAAUUUUCGGUAUCUAAAUAUAUUAUCAAAAGGUAAUUUUGAUGAUAUUUUUAUAAAAAUACUUAUAGUAAAAACAAACCUUUAUAAGUAUAAGGUUCUGGAAAUUUUUUACUUAAUAAAUAUAUAUAACUAAUAGUCUUAUGAAUAAACUCAUAUGUUAUAUUGUAUUUACUAUCUAAUUUCUUGUUACAAGUUUUCAAGAUUACAUAGUUUAAUAGAAUGUAUAGAGUUUAUAAAAAAAGAUAUAUUUUAUUUUUAUAUUUUACAUUAUUGUAUAUAUUAAGACUAUUAUACAGAUAUAUAAUGUAAUAUAUAAGGUUUUUCUAUAUACCGUACCUAGAUACUAUCACAAGUAAGCAAGUAGAGAUACAAAGGCGUUUGAGUGAACAAUCAUUAAGGAACUCGGCAAAUUGACUACCGUAACUUCGGGAUAAGGAGGGCCAUUAUCAUUAGUUUAACAUACCUUACAGGUAUGAUUUAAUUAAUUAAGGAUAAGAGGAAACAUAAAUAAUGUUGUACGACUGUUUAAUAAAACACAGCACUCUGCAAAGAUAAAUAUCAAAGUAUUGAGUGUGAUGUCUGCCCAAUGUCGGCUGGAUAACGGAUUUACCUUGGUUUUUAACUGAGGUUUUGAAGGAUACCCCGAUUAAUGGCGGCCUUACCUAUGAGGGUCCUAAGGUAGCGAAUACCUUGGCCGUUAAAUGCGGUCCUGCAUGAAUGACUUAACGAUACAACAGCUGUCUCGAUGAUUGUCUCAGUGAAAUUGGAAUAGCAGUGCAGAUACUGUUUACCUCUAGAUAGACGAGAAGACCCUAUGCAGCUUUACUGUUACUAUUGCAAGAGUGAAAUUUAGGAUAAUUUCGAGUGUAUAAGGUAGUUGUCUGAUAGCAAUGAAACACCUUUAUUUGUUUCCUAUUAUAUGCUCUUGAGGAUUAGAAGGCAGUUUAUGCGGGGCACAGAUCCACAAAAGUACCUGGGUAUAUCCAAAGUUCAUAUUGUAAAUUUGUAAUUUCUUUACAAUAUUUUAAUUUGUUAUAAUUAUAUUUAUAAUUAUACAGUUAUUGUUAGAUUAAAUUCAAUAUGUAUUUUUUAUUUAAGUAAGAUUUUAACUAUAUGGUGAAUAGAUGUAUUUUAAACUUUAAUAUUUAAAAGUUUUUUCUCAUAUUAAUAUUGUAUUUUUUACCUUUAUUAAUAUGAUAAUUAAUUAUACUUUAAAAGUUUAAUGGCUAAAUCUUGCUUUACUGUUUGACCUACAAGUCUAUCAGUCGCGUAAGCGGGGCAUAUGAUCACAAGAUGCAUUAAGGAAAGGUCUUGGAUUAUAGAAAAGUUACGCUAGGGAUUUAUAACUGUGAGUCCUCCAAUAUUAUAAAUAUUGGUAAUAUAUUGGGUAAUUUCAAAGACAACUUAAAUAAUUUAAGUGUAUUUGAAGCGAAACUUAUUUUAGCAAUUAGCAGUAUUAAUCACUGUUAAUUUAUCUAUAUUAUAAGAUAAAAUAAAUAAGGACGUUCAACGA
rnacentral:rRNA from 1 species